AAAAACGCCUGAACCAAAAGCAAGAGAAAUCACAUGGUCAGGUGGAAUGAUGACUGCCAAGGGGCGUGGAAAGAUAAAAGAAUGAGUAGCAGGAACCUCUGAUUCUGACGCCUCCCGUGGAAGGAAUAAAUGUUGAUCUGGUACUUGACAGCCCUCAAGGGGUCUAUGAGGUGUAUUGGGUCAGCAUGACGAGUCUGGUCGAAAAG
rnacentral:lncRNA from 1 species